GUUUGGACCAACCGCCAUUGAAACUUUUUUCUAAAAGUCGGCGGCGAUGUGAAUUCUAAAAGUGAAAAGUUCAUUCGCCGAAAACAAAACAAUAUUAGGAUCAAAAUGCAUGACCAAGGUAUACACCAAUGAAUUCGGAGAUUCAACUGCGAAUAACAAAAAAAGCUUUCAAAGGAACAUGCAGCCCCGUCGAAACAUGCGAAGAGUAACUGAUAUGGGCAAAGCGUCUCAUCAUACAAAAAUCGUUUGAAAGUGAUUUUUCUGAAAUUUAGACAUCAC